rnacentral:rRNA from 1 species
GGAUGGACGAACCAAUGGUGUAUCAGUUGUUCCGCCAGGGGCAUUGCUGAGUAGCUAAGUUCGGCAGGGAUAACCGCUGAAAGCAUCUAAGCGGGAAGCCCACUCCAAGAUAAGAUAUCCCGUGACGUAAAGUCACCUCAAGGCUCGUUGUAGACUACAACGUUGAUAGGUCGGGUGUGGAAGCGUGGCAACACGUGGAGCUAACCGAUACUAAUAAGCCGUGCGGCUUAACCAUAU